rnacentral:rRNA from 1 species
UACAGAGGGUGCAAGCGUUGUUCGGAAUUAUUGGGCGUAAAGGGCGCGUAGGCGGUGCCACAAGUCACCUGUGAAAUCUCCGGGCUUAACUCGGAGCCUGCAGGCGAAACUGUGGUGCUGGAGUGUGGGAGAGGUGCGUGGAAUUCCCGGUGUAGCGGUGAAAUGCGUAGAUAUCGUUUGGAACGCCAAUGGUGAAAACAGCUAGCUGGGGAUGUGCCGACGCUGAGACACGAAAGCCAGGGGAGCGAACGGG